AUGGUGGAAGGCUCGGCGACCGACAUUAUGAACUUGAAGUUCCUCCUGCUGUGCUUCCAGAGGAUCAACUUCAAUAAAAGUGCGGUUAUGGUCAUGGGAUACUCCCAAGACGAGCGACAGAGCAUCGCGGAUAGACUUAAUUGCCAGCUUGGGUGCUUCCCCACGUCUUAUCUGGGGAUCCCCAUUAGUGAUACAAGACUCACGGUGGCGGAGCUUCGCCCCGCGGUUGGGAAGCUUCAACACCGCAUCGAGCCUUGGCAAGGCCGUUGGCUCUCGAAGGCAGCCCGGACAGUGCUUAUUAACUCGUCCCUGGCCAUCCCACUCCUGUUCAUCAUGAGCUUCUACAGCCUUUCGGAGACUCUACAUCAUGAGAUUGCCACCGUACAGGGACGCUUCUUCUGGGCCGGCGAGGGAGACAAGCAAAAAUACCACAUGGUUCGCUGGUCGGAGAUCUGUAAACCGCGCGACCAGGGUGGGCUCGGGAUCAUGUCCUCCAAACGCAUGAACAUUGCCCUACUUACGCGCUGGUUGUGGCGGAUCUCCAACGGCGAUGGUGGCCUGUGGGUA
rnacentral:rRNA from 1 species